AUUGAACGCUGGCGGCAUGCUUUACACAUGCAAGUCGAACGGCAGCGCGGACUUCGGUCUGGCGGCGAGUGGCGAACGGGUGAGUAAUAUAUCGGAACGUACCCAGGGGUGGGGGAUAACGUAGCGAAAGUUACGCUAAUACCGCAUACGCUCUAUGGAGGAAAGCAGGGGAUCGCAAGACCUUGCGCGCUUGGAGCGGCCGAUAUCUGAUUAGCUAGUUGGUGGGGUAAAGGCUCACCAAGGCAACGAUCAGUAGCUGGUCUGAGAGGACGACCAGCCACACUGGGACUGAGACACGGCCCAGACUCCUACGGGAGGCAGCAGUGGGGAAUUUUGGACAAUGGGGGCAACCCUGAUCCAGCAAUGCCGCGUGAGUGAAGAAGGCCUUCGGGUUGUAAAGCUCUUUUGUCAGGGAAGAAACGGGCGUGGCUAAUAUCCGUUGUUGAUGACGGUACCCGCAUAAGAAGCACCGGCUAACUACGUGCCAGCAGCCGCCGUAAUAC
rnacentral:rRNA from 1 species